AACGUUAGCAACCUGCUUCUGGUUCGAUAACAAUUUGACCACCAUCUCCAGCAUCAGAAACGAGUAAUCCCGCGCCAUCGCCGUGCUACAGCAGGUGUUUGCCGCUACCAGUGAAGUACUAGAAGAUCACAGUGAGUACAGAGUGUGCUCUGCUUGCAAAGACUGGUGGUGGCUAAAGCCCCUGAUAAGCGUGACAUGUGGCUACCAUUACCUGCCCAAACCGGAUAACCUGCCCAAGCUCAACCUAGUGGAAGAAUGCCUGAUCGCUCCUUGCUUGCCGUUUAUAAACAUCAAGCCGGGUUUAGACUACAGUCGCAUCUGUCACAAAUGUCGUAUCGCGUAACAGCCGCAUCGUCUGUUUGCGUUGCUAAUGACCUAGUAUGUUCACAUUGAGCUUUUCGGUCAGGUACGUUUUUUACGAUGAGCCAAUCACCAUUCUGAACAUGCGUGGCGUCCUCGCUACAAUUGUUGCAGCCUAGCAAGGUUCACGUGUUUGGCCAUGGCUGGGCUGGCUGUGCUACGGGUCAUGGUUACAGGUGAUGGGCACGCAACGCAAUAAACGCCGGCAAACCAACUACACAGACACGCUACUGCAUGACUUGCAAGACGCGGAAUGUGGGGAGGACGAAGGCCCCGUGAAUGGAAAACGAAAACCGAAACUGCUUUUCCCAUUGGUCGUAUGUAACGGUCGCAUCAUUAGUUGUCGUAAAAGUCGCGGACCCGCGAACAUUUUACGUCCCAAACGUUACAUACUUUACGCUAAAUACAACAACGUCUGAACAAGCUCAUUACGUUGAUUGCAUUUACGGUCAUGAUCCUUACCGACGAUCCGUACGUUGCGCACAUAGUCUGAACACGGCUUUAGGCAUUUCGCGCACGGUAGCGGCCAAAACACCAUCAAGGGCCAAGUGGUCAACGUACCCAUCAAUGUGCAAAACACGGUGCAGUGCCUGCCACGAAACAUCCAACAUCCCCGACGUUUACCAGAUUUACCUCCGGAGCUUCGCCCACUCAUCAUUCACUUCGUGGAUAUGGCGGGUUUUUUUACUGCGGGCGGCACCCACGACAAGUGGGUACAGCUUAUACGUUGUGUUUUGAAUAUGUUUGCAGUUGGAGGGGCAAAGUGCAGGUAGGAGGAAAUUUGGGGCGGGGCAUGUAGGUGCCCCACCCGCUGGCCGUAUAGGCUCAGUGAGGUUGAAGAACCAUUCGUAUCUCCUUGCUUAGCCUUUAUGAGUUUACACAGACUGAAGUGUACUUGGCAAUGGACAAUAUGGGAUACGUUAAAAGCUUGAGCAAGUAGACCUUGAGGCAGACUUCGAAAUGAAGCAAGUGUAUGGCAAAAAAUCCGGGGUGACUAGCAGUGCAAUGCUACAUUUUUGCCCCACAAAAAUUCGUAGGCGAGUAGACCUUGAGGAAGACCUGAUAUUUAACAAUGAAACAGGCCGUUUGUGUGAGAUGUUGCUGGGUACUAAUCGCUUGGCCACUUGGUGUUAAAAUUCUCGAUUCUUCCACUCAUCACAUAAUAAAGUUCUUCCAAUCCAAUCCAAUUCCACUCAUCACCCAGAAGAGCUAUGUGCAACAGCAAACAGCAAAAAGAGGAUUCAUCGAUGAUGUACAGCCAGUUGCCACCUGCAAAAGAGGAAAUAACCAAAUGCUCAUGCACAUGGAAAGAAGAAAAAAAGUUUAAUGCACGACCUUUUGAAAUAUUUUCUGUUGCUUUGUACAACAAAACAUGUUGCUUUACAUUAUAUACUGCAGGCACUGUGUCACUUUCUGCACAGAGUAGCCACCCUCGCGCGAGCAACACGGAAGAUGCAUCGCCAAAACUGGCUGGGUUCGGUUGUACGAGUGACAGCCUCAGUGACCGUGAACUGUGUUGGUUCGCUUGUCACCCUUGCAUGCACUUUAGUGCAUGUGGGGUUUGGGCUUCACAUUCUUUAAGUAUUAGCAAGGAGAAAUUCAUACAAGUUUGUGGUAUGGAUGAGGAUAUAUUCUCCGUGCAUGCCAGGCACACACAGGGAACAGCUCCCUAUGGCUCCAAGGAGGGUGUCUCCUGAGAUCUUCAAGGACAUUUCUUAUAGGCACAUAAGCGAAAUGGCAAUUUCAUUUAUUUGUUUGGGAACAUUAAAGCGCAAAAAUAGACAAUCACUUAGAUCUAAAGACACACGACGGGCUCCCAGCAUCCCCAGUGUUGUGAAGACAGCACUGCUCCUUACCUUGUAAUAAAAAUAGAUUAAAGCGGGCAUGCCUAAUAAUAUACACACUGAUUUUAAGCAUGAAUUGUCGUGUGCCUAACAGCAGACUAUGUACAGAAACUCGAAUGACUUCGCACACUUUGAAUGCUUGUCCUCCAGGCCGUGCAAUGUACUGGUUUUACAGGGAAGCUGUACAUGGCCAGGUUCUGGCGGAGUGCAAGAAUGUAGCCAAUUUUCAGCGGAGGAUAUAAUCGGUUUAUGUAAAAAGUGCCUUAGCACAGGUGCCUCUAUCACAAUUCUCGCGAUACUCGGCAGCGGCAGUUCCCACCAUUUGUUGCCCCCUUUGUCUCCUGGCGUAAAGGUAGAGCUAGCACUGUUAUCAGCAGUUGCCCUUUGGACUCUCUAUAGGACAGGCACAUGCUGUUUGCUCUGAGGAAGAAGAGUGCCCAUUGAAGGAGUGCCUACGUGCACAGAAGUGCGAAUGGGCGUGAAAGUGACGCAAGGCCGCUGCCAACGCUUCGAGUUCCACCAUGUCGAGUAGCUGCAACUUCACGGAAGGAGAGCAGCUUGCGUGCCUGGAGCGCUGAUGUGAGCAGAAGUGUCGGCGCGACCGCCACCGGCAGGUGAAUACCGCUGACGAGGACUAGGUCAUUGAAGUGCAAUGCACAGCAUCGUGACUGCACACCAUCAGAACAUUCUUCCAGGGCCUGGGCAAGGUUUCAACGGGAGUUCAUGAGCAAUCCAUUCAGCGUCACAUGUGCCGUCUUCAGCAGCCUUAAAUUCGCUGUAGACUUGGCUACGAUCGUCAGCGUGCGGGACGCCCAACAGCAUGAAGUAGCCAUAGGUGCAUUGCAGCAGUGCAUCUCUUCCGAAGCUGUGGAGGAAGAGCCAGUAUGCGGGACAUGCCACGAGGCAUUGCGUAAAGGAUAUAGGUGCCACACACAACGUACAGCUCACCUGCAUCAAUUGUAUGCUGAGGGAAGGUACAUUAAGGAGGAGACCACGGCGAUAUUACAGUAAAUGCAUUGGAAAGGAUGACAUCCUGCCUGAGCAUGCACAUCAGUCAUCGCAGACGGAACACCACAUCACUCUAGUCUGGUGCCCAAGGCCAAAUAUUUUAACAUGCAGCACUGAAGUACAGGUGGACCUCUUGUGACAGCUGUGUUGAUGUGAGUGCUUGAGAGGCUUUGCUUGGUGGCAGUGGUACCAGGCUCAAAAAGAACCAAAGAAAAAAUGACUCCACUAUUGAGCAAGGCCCCCACGAGCAGUCACCUUGGUUCUCUGUGCACCAGUGCAAGUGAGAAUACUCCUUCAAAAACAUCAGAACCUCAACUCGGUAAUACUUAGCACAGAGUUCUUUGACGAUGUGACUCAACUUCGUGGUCCAGCAGGGCCACUUCCUGCCGACUCACCGGCAAGACCUCCACUGGCUAGACCUGCACCGCCAAGACCUCCACCGGCAAACAACUGAAGUUCAGUGGCUUCAGCCAUGGCAGACAGAAAACGUGCCACUCUUCUUGACACUGUGAUUACCUCCUGCAGACCAGCGCACCGAUUUCCUAGUGGAUGCCUUCAUGGCUCCUACUUCAAGAGCUGGAAUGGCUGCACAGAUGACCUCUUUGUGACCAAUUCAUCCAUGAUGAAUGUGAAGCAACCACAUUUCCAGUGGCUUCUUGAGUCUCUCGCUGGAUCAUUACAUCCUUCGUGGGCUUCUGCACUGGCCUGGUGGGAUGCCAUGGGUCACUGCCGCCCCAGCGAUUUUGGCAUGCUUGGAUUAUUCUGAGACGUUGUACUGAACUUCGAAAGUGACUAUACAUCCUGAAAACCCAAGAAAUGGCAGGAAGGAGAUGGCCAACGACUUCAGCAACGGCUGUUUGUGUUAAAACAUUCAGGAAGAGCACUCUUGCAGAUGCAAUGAACACUGAGGACCUGGCAUGCAACUGGGGGGCAUAAACACUGCCGCAGACUAGGCAGACAUAAUUUCGGAUGAUGUUGCUCAGUGCAAGUGGUCAUACAAUUGCUUUCAUGCAGCUCAAAGCUGAUAAGACAUCCAGAACUCUAGGAAGGGAUGACAAGAUAUCAAGUGCGUGGUAAAUGGUGUCCACAGCCUUGUCUGUUUCAUUCCAGGUGGCAGUGUGGUAACAAAAGAAAAGGAUGAUGUGGCACUUAAAGCAUAAGUGUACAAAUGGGCAUGGGGAAUGGGGUCCAAUAAACUAUUUGCUACCAUAAUGAUGGAUGCUUUAUUCACAUCGUUCA